rnacentral:rRNA from 1 species
AAAACAUGUCUUAUUGAAAAUAAUUUUAAGUCUAAUCUGCCCAAUGAUAAUUUAAUGGCUGCAGUAUCAAUAACUGUACAAAGGUAGCAUAAUAAUUAGUUUUUUAAUUGAGAACUAGAAUGAAAGAUUAAAUGAAAUAUAAACUUUAUAAAUAAAAUAAAAAUUUAAAUUAAAUUUUAAGUUAAAAUUCUUAAAUAAUAUUAAAAGACGAGAAGACCCUUUAGAAUUUUAUAUUAAAAAUAAUUAAAUUUAUAAUAAUUCAUAUAUAAAUUACUUUUAAUAUUUAAUUGGGGUAAUUUUAUAAUUUAAUAAACUUUUAAAUAAAUAAUACAUAAAUUAAUGAAAAUAUAAACCUAAUUUUUAGAAUAUUAAAAUAAAUUACCUUAGG